AUCGCUUCUCGGCCUUUUGGCUAAGAUCAAGUGUAGUAUCUGUUCUUAUCAGUUUAAUAAAAUUAGUAAAGAAAUACCCAGGACCUAAAAUUGCCAAAAAUAUUUUUUUCCAAAAAGUUAUUUAUUAAUUUGAAAUAUGGAGUUACAGAGAGGCAGAGGCAGGGAGAGAGAGAGAGAUUCCAUCUACU